rnacentral:rRNA from 1 species
GAUGAACGCUGGCGGCGUGCCUAAUACAUGCAAGUCGAACGCUUCACUUCGGUGAAGAGUGGCGAACGGGUGAGUAAUACAUAAGUAACCUGGCAUCUACAGGGGGAUAACUGAUGGAAACGUCAGCUAAGACCGCAUAGGUGUAGAGAUCGCGUGAACUCUAUAUGAAAAGUGCUACGGGACUGGUAGAUGAUGGACUUAUGGCGCAUUAGCUGGUUGGUAGGGUAACGGCCUACCAAGGCGACGAUGCGUAGCCGACCUGAGAGGGUGACCGGCCACACUGGGACUGAGACACGGCCCAGACUCCUACGGGAGGCAGCAGUAGGGAAUUUUCGGCAAUGGGGGAAACCCUGACCGAGCAACGCCGCGUGAAGGAAGAAGUAAUUCGUUAUGUAAACUUCUGUCAUAGAGGAAGAACGGUGGAUAUAGGGAAUGAUAUCCAAGUGACGGUACUCUAUAAGAAAGCCACGGCUGACUACGUGCCAGCAGCCGCCGCAG